GAGAGCCAAUGUCUAAAACUAGGGCCAUAGGCUCAUUUUUUAGGCAACAUCCCCAAAUCAAUUUCCUCCUUACCGAGGGAUAGGUCGUGACAAAUCUUCAGUAGCAUUUCUUCUUUGAGGAAAUGCAUUGUGUUCGGGAUGAUUGGGCAAAAAUUUGUCAUCGUGUUUGUCGUGGCAGCUCAAAGCUCUAGGGUGGUGUUUGAGGGAUUCUCUCCCAUGGUAAUGAGAAGGUGAUAUUAAAAACGUCUUCCUAGUUGCCUUGCGAAUCAUUUAGAUGAACUUCUCAAUUCAAGGACUGUGAGGGCUCUUUACUGCUGCCACCCACGAGAGGUCAGCGGAGCAAACCCCACCAUGAAGAAGUGAAGACGAGGAAAGCACACGAGGUUCACGGCAUGUUUCGUUAGGUCAGAGGAUUUCAAAUGCAGGACAAAAAUACGCCUGCCCCAAAUAUUUCUCUACCAAAUACUGCCAGUAUAUCUGCCCCAAUGACCGCGAUGGUCAGUGCCGGGAAGAUGUGUAUGACUAGAGCUUCCGGUUACAUCACCUCGUGGUUCGUCAAGCUCCUCUUGCAUCGUGGCUACACCGUCAAUGCCUCCGUUCACGAUCCAAGUUUCGAGAAUGGAGGAGGGUGACGAAUUUAUGAAGAACGCAUGAUGGGGCUGGUUUCUUCAUUUUGCUAUUUGAAUCAAUCUUAUUAGACUGAAUUUACAAAAUUCAUAAUAUGGUAAAUUCAUGGUAUUUUGGACCUUAUGGUUUUCCAUCUAAUGCAAGGUUUUGUCCGGUUAGGACCUUUCUUGUGAAAUGAUUCAUUUUGAUUAAGCCCUUCGUGCUUUUAUUCA